rnacentral:rRNA from 1 species
GGAGCAUGUGGUUUAAUUCGAAGCAACGCGCAGAACCUUACCAGCGUUUGACAUGGUAGGACGACUGGCAGAGAUGCCUUUCUUCCCUUCGGGGACCUACACACAGGUGCUGCAUGGCUGUCGUCAGCUCGUGUCGUGAGAUGUUGGGUUAAGUCCCGCAACGAGCGCAACCCUCGACUUUAGUUACCAUCAUUAAGUUGGGUACUUUAAAGUAACCGCCGGUGAUAAGCCGGAGGAAGGUGGGGAUGACGUCAAGUCCUCAUGGCCCUUACGCGCUGGGCUACACACGUGCUACAAUGGCAAGUACAGUGGGCAGCAAUCCCGCGAGGGUGAGCUAAUCUCCAAAACUUGUCUCAGUUCGGAUUGUUCUCUGCAACUCGAGAGCAUGAAGGCGGAAUCGCUAGUAAUCGCGGAUCAGCAUGCCGCGGUGAAUACGUUCCCAGGCCUU